GGGUUAGGGGUUUGAGUCCCUGUCUAGCUCAACUGGUAGAGCAUGGCAUUAAAACUGCCAGGGUUAGGGGUUUGAGUCCCUGCCUAGCCCA